UACGUAGGUGGCAAGCGUUGUCCGGAAUUAUUGGGCGUAAAGCGCGCGCAGGCGGUCCUUUAAGUCUGAUGUGAAAGCCCACGGCUCAACCGUGGAGGGUCAUUGGAAACUGGGGGACUUGAGUGCAGGAGAGAAGAGUGGAAUUCCCGGUGUAGCGGUGAAAUGCGCAGAUAUCAGGAGGAACACCGGUGGCGAAGGCGGGUCUCUGGGCCGAUACUGACGCUGAGGAGCGAAAGCGUGGGGAGCGAACAGG
rnacentral:rRNA from 1 species